AUGAUAUUUUGGCUUCAAUUUGUUCUCCUUUUAGCCAUUUUCAAAGGUGCCCAAACAGCGGUCCAGCUGGUGGAGUCCGGAGGGGAUGUGAAAAGGCCUGGAGAGUCCCUCCGGCUGUCCUGCCAAGCCUCCGGAUACCCCUUCAGCAGCCACAGCGCACACUGGGUGAGACAAGUGCCUGGGAAGAAACUGGAAUGGAUUGCAUGGAUAUACGAUGAUGGGAGUCAGCUAUCCUAUGCCAACUCAGUGAAAGGGCGCUUCACCAUCUCCAGGAACAACCCCUCAAACAUGCUGUAUCUGCAAAUGAACGACCUGAAACCUGAGGACACCGCUGUGUAUUAUUGUGCAGCUUGGACACAGCGAGAGGAAGUCUAUUUAAGCCUAGCUAAAAACCCUCUUUGCAGCUGGCUGCUCACUGAGUUCAUUCAAGCGCUCUACUGUGAAUGGAGAAAUUCAUCCAAGCAAGACCAAUAG